UGGAGGAAGAGAAAGAAAAAUCGAUUUCCUGAGUAGCGGCGAGCGAAACGGAAAGAGCCCAAACCAAGAAGCUUGCUUCUUGGGGUUGUAGGACACUCUAUACGGAGUUACAAAAGAAAGUUAUAAAUGAAGCGGUCUGGAAAGGCCCGCCAAAGACGGUAACAGCCCGGUAGUUGAAAUAGCUUUCCCUCCAGAGUGGAUCCUGAGU
rnacentral:ncRNA from 1 species